AGUGAACGCUGGCGGUAGGCCUAACACAUGCAAGUCGAACGGCAGCACCGUAAGAGCUUGCUCUUACGGGUGGCGAGUGGCGGACGGGUGAGGAAUACAUCGGACUCUACUUUUUCGUGGGGGAUCACGUAGGGAAACUUACGCUAAUACCGCAUCCGACCUACGGGUGAAAGCAGGGGAUCUUCGGACCUUGCGCGAUUGAAUGAGCCGAUGUCGGAGUAGAUAGUUGGCGGGGUAAAGGCCAACCAAGGCGCCGAUCCGUAGCUGGUCGGAGAGGAUGGUCAGCCGCACGGGAACGGAGACGGCGUCCAGACUCCUGCGGGAGGCAGCAGUGUGGAAUAUUGGACAAUGGGCGCAAGCCUGAUCCAGCCAGACCGCGUGGGUGAAGAAGGCCUUCGGGGUGUAAAGCCCGUUUGUUGGGAAAGAAAAGCAGCAGGUUAAUACCCCGCUGUUCUGACGGUACCCAAAGAAUAAGCACCGGCUAACUUCGUG
rnacentral:rRNA from 1 species